AUUCAGCUGACGAAUGCCAAAUAGGACGAAACGCCUGUCUUAGAU
rnacentral:hammerhead_ribozyme from 1 species